UACGGGGGGGGCAAGCGUUGUUCGGAAUUACUGGGCGUAAAGGGCUCGUAGGUGGCCAACUAAGUCGGACGUGAAAUCCCUCAGCUUAACUGGGGAACUGCGUCCGAUACUGGAUGGCUUGAGUUUGGGAGAGGGAUGCGGAAUUCCAGGUGUAGCGGUGAAAUGCGUAGAUAUCUGGAGGAACACCGGUGGCGAAGGCGGCGUUCUGGACUGUAACUGACACUGAGAAACGAAAGCCAGGGUAGCAAACGGG
rnacentral:rRNA from 1 species